rnacentral:rRNA from 1 species
GACGAACGCUGGCGGCGUGCCUAAUACAUGCAAGUUGAGCGAUGAAGAUUGGUGCUUGCCCCAAUUUGAAGAGCAGCGAACGGGUGAGUAACGCGUGGGGAAUCUGCCUUUGAGCGGGGGACAACAUUUGGAAACGAAUGCUAAUACCGCAUAACAACUUUAAACAUAAGUUUUAAGUUUGAAAGAUGCAAUUGCAUCACUCAAAGAUGAUCCCGCGUUGUAUUAGCUAGUUGGUGAGGUAAAGGCUCACCAAGGCGAUGAUACAUAGCCGACCUGAGAGGGUGAUCGGCCACAGUGGGACUGAGACACGGCCCAAACUCCUACGGGAGGCAGCAGUAGGGAAUCUUCGGCAAUGGACGAAAGUCUGACCGAGCAACGCCGCGUGAGUGAAGAAGGUUUUCGGAUCGUAAAACUCUGUUGGUAGAGAAGAACGUUGGUGAGAGUGGAAAGCUCAUCAAGUGACGGUAACUACCCAGAAAGGGACGGCUAACUACGUG